rnacentral:lncRNA from 11 species
UGACAGCCUGCUGUGACCUAUGAGACAUGAUUUCCGGCCUUGGAGGUCGGAACUUCCUUCGGACUAAGGAAUGUGCUUUCUUAUUUCUGUUGAGCUGUGUGUGCCGAGCCGAGAGGCAAAGGGAAAAUGGCAGCUUCUAGCAAUGGACUUUGCUGUUAUGCAAUACUGGUCUUGCCAACAGAUCUACCAUUUAUGCAACGGCAGAAGGAUAAUCCUGUGUCCAGUUCUGGGAACCAGAAUUCAAGAAGGCCCGGGCUGUGGUGCAGGCUGGUG